UCUAUAAUCUAAAGCGCGUGGACUGUUCACAGGCGCGUCACUAUUCAUUCGCGUGGUCACUGUUCAUUCGAGCCCGAAAAUUUUUGAGUAGAAGAGACUGGAAACGCCGAGAAUAUCCAUCAGAUUCUAGAUCUAUCUAAUCACUGUUCUGGCAAUUUACCUUUGUACUAUUCAUAAUCUGAGCAUAUAAGCCAUAAGAUUGACUCACGAGUGGCUUCGGGAACUCUCCAUUUACGUCGACUCCAGCUCCUCCACUGUUUGCGAUCUCCGAUCAAUGUCAACCUCCAUAAAAACUGAGUGUUCAGAAUUGUCAUGCAUCAAUUCAUCAACCACAGUUUGAAAUUGGAUUAAGGCUUGCAGAACCUUACACUUUCAUCAAUUAUUGUUGAGCUUCAACCAGGAACUAUGGCUGGUUGCUUCUUAUGAAUUAGCAAGCCUAAAGCGUUUUUAGUGGAGAAAUAAGUGAAUGGUGCGCUUCAACAAAUCAGCUUGGACAUCUAUUGAUAGCUUCUACAAUGGCUAUAAAAUGAUGCACCUACAAGAUCUACAGAGAUUGGAAGGAGUUCUAUAUGUUUCAAGAGUACAUCAACACCAUUAAUGAUCUGUAAUAGUUCUGUAUCAAUGUUCACGCCUUAGGAGAUUAUAGUUACAGUUGCCACUGAUUUUGGAGUGAAACCUACUCUUGCUCUUUGGGUUCAUAGAAUCCAGAAAGAGAGCGUGGGCUAUGUAGCCUCAU